rnacentral:rRNA from 1 species
AGAGUUGAUCUGGCUCAGAUUGAACGGGCGGCGCUAACACAUCAAGUCGAGGGUACACAGAGCUUGCUCUUGGGUGACGAGCGGCGGACGGGUGAGUAAUGUCUGGGAAACUGCCUGAUGGAGGGGGAUAACUACUGGAAACGGUAGCUAAUACCGCAUAAGUCGCAAGACCAAAGAGGGGGACCUUCGGGCCUCUUGCCAUCAGAUGUGCCCAGAUGGGAUUAGCUAGUAGGUGGGGUAACGGCUCACCUAGGCGACGAUCCCUAGCUGGUCUGAGAGGAUGACCAGCCACACUGGAACUGAGACACGGUCCAGACUCCUACGGGAGGCAGCAGUGGGGAAUAUUGCACAAUGGGCGCAAGCCUGAUGCAGCCAUGCCGCGUGUAUGAAGAAGGCCUUCGGGUUGUAAAGUACUUUCAGCGGGGAGGAAGGUGUUGAGGUUAAUAACCUCAGCAAUUGACGUUACCCGCAGAAGAAGCACCGGCUAACUCCGUGCCAGCAGCCGCGGUAAUACGGAGGGUGCAAGCGUUAAUCGGAAUUACUGGGCGUAAAGCGCACGCAGGCGGUCUGUCAAGUCGGAUGUGAAAUCCCCGGGCUCAACCUGGGAACUGCAUUCGAAACGCAGGCUAGAGUCUUGUAGAGGGGGGUAGAAUUCCAGGUGUAGCGGUGAAAUGCGUAGAGAUCGGAGGAAUACCGGGGCGAAGGCGGCCCCCKGACAAAGACAC